rnacentral:rRNA from 1 species
GACGAACGCUGGCGGCGUGCUUAACACAUGCAAGUCGAACGGUGAAGCGCCUUCCUUUUUGGUGGGUGUGGAUGAGUGGCGAACGGGUGAGUAACACGUGAGUAACCUGCCCCCUUCUUCUGGAUAACCGCAUGAAAGUGUGGCUAAUACGGGAUAUUCUGGGUCUGUCGCAUGAUGGGUCUGGGAAGGAUAUUGUUUCGGUGGGGGGUGGGCUCGCGGCCUAUCAGCUUGUUGGGGGGGUGAUGGCCUACCAAGGCGGUGACGGGUAGCCGGCCUGAGAGGGUGGACGGUCACACUGGGACUGAGACACGGCCCAGACUCCUACGGGAGGCAGCAGUGGGGAAUAUUGCACAAUGGGCGCAAGCCUGAUGCAGCGACGCCGCGUGAGGGAUGGAGGCCUUCGGGUUGUGAACCUCUUUCGCCAGUGAAGCAGGCCUGCCUCGUUUGUGGGUGGGUUGACGGUAGCUGGAGAAGAAGCGCCGGCUAACUACGUG